rnacentral:rRNA from 1 species
AUUGAACGCUGGCGGCAGGCUUAACACAUGCAAGUCGAACGGUAACGGGUUGAAAGCUUGCUUUCAAUGCUGACGAGUGGCGGACGGGUGAGUAAGGCUUGGGGAUCUGGCUUUUGGAGGGGGAUAACCAUUGGAAACGAUGGCUAAUACCGCAUAGUAUCGAGAGAUGAAAGGGGUGGGAAACCACUUGCCAAGGGAUGAACCCAAGUGAGAUUAGGUAGUUGGUGGGGUAAAGGCCUACCAAGCCGACGAUCUCUAGCUGGUCUGAGAGGAUGGCCAGCCACACUGGGACUGAGACACGGCCCAGACUCCUACGGGAGGCAGCAGUGGGGAAUAUUGCGCAAUGGGGGGAACCCUGACGCAGCCAUGCCGCGUGAAUGAAGAAGGCCUUCGGGUUGUAAAGUUCUUUCGGUGGUGAGGAAGGUGGUAGUGUUAAUAGCGCUAUUGUUUGACGUUAGCCACAGAAGAAGCACCGGCUAACUCCGUGCCAGCAGCCGCGGUAAUACGGAGGGUGCGAGCGUUAAUCGGAAUAACUGGGCGUAAAGGGCACGCAGGCGGGACGUUAAGUGAGAUGUGAAAGCCCCGGGCUUAACCUGGGAACAGCAUUUCAUACUGGCGUACUAGAGUACUUUAGGGAGGGGUAGAAUUCCACGUGUAGCGGUGAAAUGCGUAGAGAUGUGGAGGAAUACCGAAGGCGAAGGCAGCCCCUUGGGAAGAUACUGACGCUCAUGUGCANAAGCGUGGGGAGCAAACAGG